GUCAAAUCAACACCCGGAUCAACACCUGGAUCAACACCUGGAUCAACAACUGGAUCAACACUUGGAUCAACACUUGGAUCAACACGUGAAUCCUGUACGACAACUUGUGCGGAAAAUCAAACCCAGACGACAUACACACUUGGCACUGUGAUCGGCAGUGUUGUCGGCGGAAUCGUAAUCGGGAUGAUAGCAAUGAUGGUGGUGGCCAUAAUAGUAUAUCGGAAGAUACCAAGAAAACCGGUCAAGACCGAAGUUCCAGGUCAGACACAAAAUGCAGCCUAUGAAGACGCUGAUAUUGCGGAGAGUUCCCUCACCAGAAGUGAUGCUUAUGGCGUUGUAGAAUCAGCCCCGCAACCACAGUAUGAAUUUGUUUGCCCGCAGUAACCCACUAAUUGGGCGCAUUUCAUCAUUUUCUGCAGUUUAGUGUGCUUCUCUGUGUUCUUUGCCUAUUGUUUUUCCUCAGCACAAUUUAUCUCGGUAUGCAUUCUUGCAUUUCUACCCCGUCGCAACGAUUUUCUUAAUCAGUUUGUUUUGCAACUCCUCAUUUUGGUGUUUAGGUUUUACGGUGUUAUUCCAAACAAUACAUGGCUGGGGUAGCCAAUGACCACUUUACGUGGCGAUUGCAGGAUUUUUAUAGCCAACCACAGCAUAUUGUCCACCGCCUCCUUUUUCUCACUCUAUCUUUGGAUUGUGUUCAUCAGGGAGCACGUGAAUUCAGGCAUUGACUUUCAAACACGGCUUUUUCCUUGCUGCUCAAAAAGCGUAAAUUUCCAAUAUAUUCCUUCAACUCAUUCUGUCCUCAGCGCAGCAAACAACUCAUCCAUAGCUAACGUUAGGCUCAUCACACUCCCACAACUACCCCAAACAACAUUUGCCAUAGAUCGCGUUAACCUUUUCCAGGGUUAUAGGAGGUACAUAAAAUCUGGUUCCAUUUCGCUCAAGUAACUUGUAAUGUGGUUUCUUCUUUUCCAAUAUUCCCUGAGCUACUCCAUAUGCAUGCGCACAGUUCAGCCCGUCCUUUCCUCCCAAUUUUUAUUUCCGGAAUUAUUUCUCACGAUUCUCGUUUUAAAACUGUUGCAUAUUUCUAUUCCUUAUCCAGAUGCGUUUUCCAAGUACAUGAAUGGCAUUUUAAUAUCUCACUUCACUGGAAAAGAAGAAUACAAUUGAUGCAUAGA